rnacentral:lncRNA from 1 species
CCUCGGCUUCCCAAAGUGAUGCGUCCAUGAAUUUUUUAAAACUAAAAAUGGGACCUGGAUAAAGUGAACAUCUUAGGGCCGUAAUGACCUCCAGACCUUUUGCAGAAGGUUGGAAUAGAGUAAUUUAUCCCUACUUACAGAGAGAUUGCCCUACGUGUAACAGCUGCAUACAAAAAAGUUAUAAAAUUAUCAUUGGUUUAACAAGGAUAAGUGAAAAACAUUAAAAUUCUCCAACUGAACAAGGUAUGCAAGGAUUUUUAUCUUGUUGUUGUUUUGUUAAAAUAGUAAGAGCAAAAUAACUUACUGGAAUAUAAAGAUAAGAGCUGAAUGAGCAUGCCACUAAUGGAGAAAGGGGGUAUUUUCACAGAAUCAGUAUUUUUUCCCAUUCCAUCUCCACUUGAUGUCAGUCAAAACGUACCAUUGCUAUUUAGUUUAAAAAAUGCAAUAUGGGUUGGGCGCGGUGGCUCACUUCUGUAAUCCCAGCACUUUGGGAGGCUGAGGUGGGUGGAUCACCU